rnacentral:ncRNA from 1 species
UUGGUCUCAAACCCCUAUUAUUUAAACCCCUAAUUAUACAUGCGAGACUCAUCCACAACAGUGAAACAGCCCACCACAACAGUUUGGAGCAGGUAUCAGGCAACAAGCCCACAACACCAAGCAGACUAGCCACACCCCCACGGGUCCACAGCAGUAGAUAACAUUAGGCCAUAAACGCAAGCUUGACCUAGUAAGAGGACCUUUACCCAGGGUCGGUUAAUCUCGUGCCAGCGACCGCGGUUAUACGACAGACCCAAAAUAAUACCACCGGCGUAAAACACGACUAAAAAUCAGUCCAACAUUAGAAAGAAAGCCAAGCUAGGCUGUAAAAAGCCAUAAGCCACACUAACCACCUAACAAUAAACAAUUCCACUCGUGAAAGCUAGGACACAAACUAAGAUUAGAUACCUUACUAUGCCCAGCCAUAACACAACAAUUAAAUCACCCAUUGUUCGCCAAAUAACUACGAGUGAAAACUUAAAAUUUAAAAAGACUUGACGGUAUCUCACAACAACCUAGAGGAGCCUGUCCAAUAACCGAUACCCCACGAUCAACCCAACCCACCCUAGCCCAACAGUCUAUAUACCGCCGUCGCCAGCCUACCUUGUGAAAGAAACAAAGUGAGCCCAAUAGCCACCCACUAAUACGACAGGUCGAGGUGUAACUCAUGGUGGGCCCAAGAUGGGCUACAUUUUCUAACACAGAAAAUACGAAUAAACUAUGAAAUAAGAAACUGAAGGUGGAUUUAGCAGUAUAUAAGGAAUAAACAUACCUAAUUGAAAUUAACGCAAUGAGAUGCGU